AAAAAAAAAAAAAAAAAAAAAAGGAGAAGAAGAAGAAGAAAGUCUCACAUUCCUCUUUUUACUGUUCUAGUUGUUGUUGUUUUAUUUUAUUUUUGCCUAUCUUUUUCUUUUAUAUUUUAAAGGAGGAGGAAGAGGAUGAGGAGGAGCAGAGCAUUUGAUUCGUCAUCCAUAAUGGGUAUUUUUAUUCCACAUUGAAACGGUGAGAGGCUGUUUAUGAAGCAUUUCAAUGAUGGGUUUUUGACAUGUAUGUAUGCCAAAAUGUUUGUACCCAUUUUCAGUAUUAUACUUAAAUGGCCAUUAUUGGUGAUGAUGUAUGCGUUUCCCCAAUUUUCCAUACAUUCCAUUUCUUCUACAAAUAUAAUCAUAUAAUUUUACACUUGACUUUACCUUUUCUUUUCCUUUUAAUAAUUCCUUCUUUUAUUCCCUCCUGGUUCGUGCGAUAUGACUUUGAAUAUCUUAGUUGCUCGAUGGAAAAUCAUUAAUGUGUAGCUGAUUUUCAUUUAUUCUCUGUCCUUUCCAAUUGAAGAAAGUAACUAUUUUGGGGUUUUAAGAAAUUGGAGCGAACCGAGAGUAGAACUAUUUACAUUUGCCUUUUUAUGGCAUUUGAAACUUGCGUAUCUGGGUUCUCGAGUGUUGAGUUGAUUGCACCGGUGAUUAUGGUAUACGUGAUCAGAAUUCAGAAGGAGGAACCAUUUCGUUUUGUCAGAUUAUGAUUCUGUUUUAUCGUCCGGAAUCUGCUCAUAUAACUUUCAAUGCUUUCAUUUUGCUAUGACAUAUGAUGGAUCUUGCACCUGCUGAUUUGGUCUGACAUGGUUUCAGAAACAUGUUUUUAUUUAUGUCAGAUGACAUUUUAUAAUUUUCAUACUUCUGUUUAUUAUCUUAUAAAGGUCAUGAUAUCAGGAUGGUGUUGUUCUUAGUUAAAAUUUGAGUUUGAAAGUACUAUAUAAUUUUAUCAGAUAUUAUACAAAAACCUAUAUUGAUAUGGUCA